UUAUCUAUCUCGCAAAACCAUGCGCUAACCUAAAGAAGUUUGAAACUAUACAGAGAAGAUUAGCAUGGCCCCUGCACUAAGGAUGGUGAGUUCGAAUCCCUGCAUCGUCAAAAAUGAUC
rnacentral:snRNA from 1 species